rnacentral:rRNA from 1 species
UAGGGUAUCUUCCGCAAUGGACGAAAGUCUGACGGAGCAACGCCGCGUGAGUGAAGAAGGAUUUCGGUUCGUAAAACUCUGUUGAUAGGGAAGAAAAAAUGUAUAGUAACUAUAUACAAAAGAGACGGUACCUAACCAGAAAGCCACGGCUAACUACGUGCCAGCAGCCGCGGUAAUACGUAGGUGGCAAGCGUUGUCCGGAAUUAUUGGGCGUAAAGCGCGCGCAGGUGGUUUAGAAAGUCUGAUGUGAAAGCCCACGGCUCAACCGUGGAGGGUCAUUUGAAACUAGUAAACUUGAGUGCCGGAGAGAAAAGUGGAAUUCCUAGUGUAGCGGUGAAAUGCGUAGAUUAGGCGGAACACCGGUGGCGAAAACGGCUUUUUGGCCUGCAACUGACACUGAGGCGCGAAAGCGUGGGGAGCAAACAGG